rnacentral:lncRNA from 10 species
AGCUCUAUGAAUGUGAAGAUGCUGAGAGUGGGAUAAAAUAUUCAAAGAAUGACCAGAAGGCCAUGAGUGUGUGGAGUUGAGGAAGAAGGGAAAAGGUUUUAAGAAAAUCACCAUUUGACAGCAAUAAUGCGCCUGAGAGGAGAUGCCUUCCUACCAACUGGAAAGCAUCAAGAUAUCUGGUUUUCUCACCAUUGAGCCAGGAAGCAGGAAAAUAAAGGAGGCUAAUCAAUCCUGGAGUAGAGACAAUAAUAAACUGAAAUUUGAUGAAGAUUAAAUUUGUAAAGUUCAAAAGUGAUAGUUAUUUGCUAGGCAUGUUUCUGGCCUAGGUCUCUGCAAACUUUCUGAAAGCUGCUGGAUCACUGAUAGUAUUUAAUCACCUUUUGAAACAAAGUAUGCUUAAUACUAGAUGCAAAUUAGAGUCACUGGAAAACUUAUAAAAAAUACAUAUGUUUAGGUUCCUAUUUGAAUUGGGUUCUGAUCAAAUCAGAAUUUCUUUUGGGUGUGGCCAAGUCAUGAGAAUAAUUCAGAAGUUCCCUAGGUGAUUCUAAUGUACAGCUGCAGGGGA